rnacentral:rRNA from 1 species
UGCGUAGGCGGCUUUCUAAGUUGGAUGUGAAAACUCUGGGCUCAACCCAGAGCCUGCAUCCAAAACUGGAGAGCUAGGGUUCUGGAGGGGAAAGCGGAAUUCCUGGUGUAGCGGUGAAAUGCGUAGAUAUCAGGAGGAACACCGGUGGCGAAGGCGGCUUUCUGGACAGAUACCGACGCUGAGGCACGAAAGCUAGGGAGCAAACA